CGUGUAGGCGGUUUAAUAAGUCAGAUGUAAAAGCCCCCGGCUCAACCGGGGAUAGUCAUUUGAAACUGUUAGGCUUGAGUGCGAGAGAGGGUAGUGGAAUUCCCAGUGUAGCGGUGAAAUGCGUAGAUAUUGGGAAGAACACCAGUAGCGAAGGCGGCUACCUGGCUCGCAACUGACGCUAAGGCGCGAAAGCGUGGGGAGCAAACA
rnacentral:rRNA from 1 species